AUUUGAGUCUGUCGGCCAGGGGAAUUCCUGGCAGAGUGAUUUUUGAGACUACAGGACUGAAUCACAUUGCCAGGGAUUUCCAAUGGCUGCCAUGAAU